CCCUUAGAUGUUCUGGGCCGCACGCGUGCUACACUGAGUGGAUCAGCGGGUCAGGUUGCGCGAAAGCGUUUCCUAAUCUUUAAAUCCGCUCGUGAUGGGGAUUGACGGUUGCAAUUUUCUGUCAUGAACGAGGAAUUCCUAGUACGCGCAAGUCAUCAGCUUGCAUGGAUUACGUCCCUGCCCUUUGUACACACCGCCCGUCGCACCUACCGAUUGAGUGGUCCGGUGAAGACCUCGGACUGUGGCUGCGGUUGCUUGAUUGCGACUGUGUGCUGUGGGAAGUUGUCUAAAUCUUAUCACUUAGAGGAAGGUGAAGUCGUAACA
rnacentral:rRNA from 1 species